GUUUUCUUUAUUUUAUUUUAAAUGAUGCAAGAUGCAUGUUUUCUAAUACCAAAAAAGGGAAAUAUUUUUCCCAUGGCCUGAUUUUUUUCAUCAUUAGCUUUUCUUUUUUUCCCACAAUGAAAAAAACCAGCUCAACAUUUUCCCAUAAACCUCUGCAAUACAACCUGCACAUUGCGCUCCAGUGAAAGCUGUUACUGCUUGAAGGCCAGACACCAUAUUUCGAUUUACAGUGUUUUUCACAAUUGAAUCCCCUGUAAACAUGGAAAAACAACAGCUUUCAAAACAAGACUGAAAGCUGUAUGUUAUAUAUCAUAAAUACAUGCUGUGAAGGUGUCAGGAUUGGCCUGACCCGAACACACAAACCUAGGUUAAAACAAGGUAGGCCUGCAUACUGGUCCUUAGAGUGUACAGGCUAAAAUGAGAAAUAAGUCAGAACGUCUGCAAGCAGACACACAGUAUAAACAAUUAACAAGCCAAGGUCAUGGAUAAUGGAGAAUCAGGAAACAAGCCAAGGUCAGGGUUACAGAGAGCAAGAAUUGUCAAACAAGCCAUGGUUCGAAAUCAGAAUAAGAAGAGUAAUAUAACGCGCUCUUGGGUGUACAGAAUCC